rnacentral:rRNA from 1 species
GGUUCAGAACGAACGCUGGCGGCAGGUCUUAGGCAUGCAAGUCGAACGGAUGACAGAGAGCUUGCUCUCUGAAGUCAGUGGCGCACGAGUGAGUAACGCGUGGGAAACUGCCCUUCACUGGGGAAUAACGUUUGGAAACGAACGCUAAUACCGCAUACACCCGCAAGGGGAAAGAUUUAUCGGUGAUGGAUGUGCCCGCGUUGGAUUAGCUAGUUGGUGGGGUAAUGGCCUACCAAGGCGAUGAUCCAUAGCUGGUCUGAGAGGACGAUCAGCCACGCUGGAACUGAGACACGGUCCAGACUCCUACGGGAGGCAGCAGCUAAGAAUAUUGGGCAAUGGAGGAAACUCUGACCCAGCCCAUGCCGCGUGAAUGAAGAAGGCCUUCGGGUUGUAAAGUUCUUUUAGUCAUGAAGAUGAUGACAGUAGUGACAGAAAAAGCACCGGCUAACUUCGUGCCAGCCGCUGC